CUCCUCCGCCCGAUCUCAUUUUCUUCAUAUUUCUGCUGGCUUUGCCUUGAUCUGCCCUUGCCCUAGAUUUCAUUGAGGUGGGAUAAAAUCUAGAGCGGGAUAUGUAGUUUCGUUCUUAGGUUUACAGUCUCGUCUUGUUACGAUUGGAGGUGGUACAGUGUAAACCUGAGUAAACUACGGUUGUGGUAUGCUUCAUUAAUAUAUUUCCAUGAACAAGCAAUUCUACCUAGCCUUUCGCUGUUACUAGGGAUUAUAUGCAAAUGAUGUUCAGUCUUAUCUUCCUCUCGUGUCUUCCUUUUUCAGAAUUAAUGGAUGCAUGUAUGCAUCAUAUAUCUCUGUUAGUGCCAUGGUGACCUGCUUCUGCUUGCAAUAUUUUUGUUCCCAGUCUGUAUCCACAUGCAGCUCAAGCCAUGUCGAUGUGUGACUUGAUAGGAAUUCUCGAGUGGUAUAGCAUUAUUGCCAUUGUGAUGAUUCAGUGAAUGUUAUUUUGAUUAUUCUAGUCAAAGUUUAAGGACUGCAGGAUAGGUUAGGAACAUUAGUAACAUUUUUGAAAGAACUGCAGUACAGUUUAUUCUUCGGUUGUUCCCAAUUGUAUGUCUCUGUUAGAGUACUUUUCCUCCUUCUUUGGAUCCUGCUUGCUUUUAUAUGUUAAUGUUAGUUAAAUGGGUACAUUAUACUACCUGUGCUCAUGUUUAAUUGACGUGAGGUACGCAGGUCUGUAGGCUACUUUCUCCAGGUACCCACAUCAAUUUAAUCCGAACAGAGGGAGUAGAUAGCAUAGUGUUAACUGAUAUAUUUUAAAUUGAUACUAAACAACGAGAUUGCUUGAUUUUUUUGUUGACUUAUAUAUUUGAAAUUAAUAGAUAAUUGUGUUUGUAAACUGUAUGGACAGCAAUCAAGCUAGGGAUAGCAAAAUGUGUAUAACUUGAUAACUUAAGGUCUUCCUUCCAUUCACACGAAUGUUCUUGUGAAAUGUAGGGAUAGCAAAUCUACCUUCUCAGUUACGUGUAGUAAGAUUAAAUUAGUACUUUUGAAGUGAUUUUUUUAUUUGAUGUAGGUUCUGGCCUCUCAAUAGGAAAUUCUAUCACUGCAUAUUGAACACAUUUGUAUGCUAUUUGGGUUCAGUGGUUAUCUAUGCUGAUGUGGUUUAUGCUCUGUUGUUUCUGGUUAUUUUGAUAUGUGGUGUAGGUUGCAAGUUGAAGGGGAAGUGAGCUCCUAUGGCGGUGACUCCAGCGCGCUACGGUCUGAUGAACGGAGCCAAUGACAAGGGCCUGAGGUGAAGGACCUGUGAGCACCAAGGUUCUCAUUGUCAUCGCACGCCUAAGGGGUCUGCUCGACCAGAUCCUCUCCAUCUCGAACUUCCUCACCGACGCUGGCAGGAGCGCAGGGUGGAGGUGGCACCAGCCUCAAGGCUUGCUGAUCCCAUUUGCAUAUGUUGCUACAGCACAACAACCAAUGAUGUUAUUAGGAGUACCAACUGCACAAGCCCCACGUGAUAAUGAGUACCCUAUGCUAUUGAAGAAGGCAGAAGAUGGAUGAGGUUUGCUCACUUGGGAAAAUGCUAGCAGGUAAAGGUUAUGUGAACAAUACCUGGGAGAUGUUACAAACUUGCAUCACUUGUAGUACUUCUUUGCUAUGUAACGUGUCAUGUGAAACUGUGAACUUGGCUGUCAUGUUCAUGGUGUUGUGUAAUUCAGUGAGAUUAUAAGUUAGAUGUUAUCUGCUAUUUCAUCUGUAUAUAUCUGUUAAAAGGAAGUGCAAGAAAAAUAUUGUUAUCUUAUGUU